rnacentral:rRNA from 1 species
GACGAACGCUGGCGGCGUGCCUAACACAUGCAAGUCGAACGGAGUUGUUCCUUCGGGGACAACUUAGUGGCGAACGGGUGAGUAACGCGUGAGAAACCUGCCUUUCAGUGGGGGACAACAGUUGGAAACGACUGCUAAUACCGCAUAAUGUAUCGAUGGGGCAUCCCAAUGAUACCAAAGAUUUAUUGCUGAAAGAUGGUCUCGCGUCUGAUUAGCUAGUUGGUGAGGUAACGGCUCACCAAGGCGACGAUCAGUAGCCGGUCUGAGAGGAUGAACGGCCACAUUGGGACUGAGAUACGGCCCAGACUCCUACGGGAGGCAGCAGUGGGGAAUAUUGGGCAAUGGGGGAAACCCUGACCCAGCAACGCCGCGUGAAGGAAGAAAGGGCCUUCGGGUUGGUAAACUUCUUUUACCAGGGACGAAGAACGUGACGGUACCUGGAGAAAAAGACAAACGGCUAACUACGUG